ACCCGUGGUUUGAGAGUAAUAUGAUAGGAGAUAUUGAUAUAAUGAACCUCAUGAUUUUAAAGAUCAAAUAAGCAAGUUGGUGUGAUAAAAUCAUGAACGGGUCAAUAUUUGGUAAAAAGGGUAAUAAGCUGAAGACUUAAAAGUCUUAAGUUUUGUUAAGCCGAAUGUCGGAUUUUAACUCCAUAUGAUGGAGAAUCAAAUUACAAACACGUCAAACAGACUAACGAUUAGAAAGAUACGAAAGUUUUCGUGUCAUUAAGCGGCAAAUGGAAAAGGCUGAAUACAGGGACCACCGUAACUUACGGUGUCACCGUAAGUUACGGUGGAGUUGAACUCUUUACGGCAGUCUCCCCCUGAGUUACGGUGGGGAAAGUCUUAAACAGAGACCACCGUAACUUACGGUGCCACCGUAAGUUACGGUGGAGGCAAACAUGAAAUGCAAUGUUUUGGAUCAAGAGAUUAUCCUUGGGAUUUCUUUCCAUUAUCAUUUAUCUUGAUUGGUACCGUUAUUUAAAGUAUCAAAACUAACUGUUGAGUUGGUUUUGAACACAGGUGUAUGCUGAGAGCCCGGAUGAAGAUCAAGCGUCAAGCUCGAUGAGGAACCGAACACAUGUUUAAUAAAGCUUCCGCAACGUUGUUGUGUCGUUAUUCUAAACGGCGAAUUAAAUCACAUUAUGUAUAUCGCUUAAAUUAUAAAAGUUUUUAACAAGCCCGUAUUUUCAUUAUAAUUGUGAUUGUAAUUACAUGAUUAUGAGUUUAAAUUAUACGAAAAAUGUUAAAUAAUAACUAGGGUGUUAC
rnacentral:lncRNA from 1 species